UACAGAGGGGGCAAGCGUUGUUCGGAAUUACUGGGCGUAAAGGGCGCGUAGGCGGCCUGUUAAGUCGAACGUGAAAUCCCCGGGCUCAACCCGGGAACUGCGUCCGAUACUGGCAGGCUUGAAUCCGGGAGAGGGAUGCGGAAUUCCAGGUGUAGCGGUGAAAUGCGUAGAUAUCGGGAGGAACACCUGUGGCGAAAGCGGCUCACUGGACAGCAACUGACGCUGAUGCGCGAAAGCUAGGGGAGCAAAACAGG
rnacentral:rRNA from 1 species